AAUUAAUGACUUGCAAGGGAUCCCUUGGUAUCCAGAAGCGAUGAAGGACGUGACUACCUGCGAAAAACUUCGGGGAGCUGGAAGUACGCUUUGAUCCGGAGGUCUCCGAAUGAGGAAACUCUACAUCUUUUUAUUUCAUUUAAUGAUAAAAAGAGCAAACUCAGGGAACUGAAACAUCUUAGUACCUGAAGGAAAAGAAAGUAAAAACGAUUCCCUUAGUAGUGGCGAACGAAACGGGAAAAGCCUAAACCUUAUGUUUAACAUAUAGGGGGUCGUGGGAUAUUCAUUAAAAAGUUCAAAAAGUUAGGUGAAAUUGCUGGAAAGCAUUACCGUAGAAAGUGAUAGUCUUGUAACCGAAAACAAUUUUGAUCUUUGUUUACUCCCGAGUAGCUUGGGACACGUGGAAUCCCGAGUGAAUCUGCGAGGACCACCUC
rnacentral:rRNA from 13 species